UGUUCGAGCGUCAUUAUAACCACUCAAGCCUCGGCUUGGUCUUGGGGUUCGCGGUCUCGCGGCCCUUAAAAUCAGUGGCGGUGCUGUCUGGCUCUAAGCGUAGUAAUUCUCUCGCUAUAGAGUCCCGGCGGUUCCCCGCCAGAACCCCCUAAUUUUUUACGGUUGACCUCGGAUCAGGUAGGGAUACCCGCUGAACUUAA
rnacentral:misc_RNA from 1 species